rnacentral:misc_RNA from 1 species
GAUGAAGAACGUAGCGAAAUGCGAUACGUAAUGUGAAUUGCAAAUUCAGUGAAUCAUCGAGUCUUUGAACGCACAUUGCGCCCCCUGGUAUUCCGGGGGGCAUGCCUGUCCGAGCGUCAUUGCUGCCCUCAAGCACGGCUUGUGUGUUGGGCCCCGUCCUCCGAUUCCGGGGGACGGGCCCGAAAGGCAGCGGCGGCACCGCGUCCGGUCCUCGAGCGUAUGGGGCUUUGUCACCCGCUCUGUAGGCCCGGCCGGCGCUUGCCGAUCAACCCAAAUUUUCAUCCAGGUUGACCUCGGAUCAGGUAGGGAUACCCGCUGAACUUAAGCAUAUCAAUAAGCGGAGGA